rnacentral:rRNA from 1 species
GACGAACGCUGGCGGCGUGCUUAACACAUGCAAGUCGAACGGAAAGGCCCUGCUGUUUGGGGGUGCUCGAGUGGGGAACGGGUGAGUAACACGUGAGUAACCUGCCCUUGACUUUGGUAUGACUUCAGGAAACUGGGGGUAAUACCUGAUAGGUGCUCCUGCUGCCUGGUGGGGGUUGGAAAGGUUAGGCGGUGGGGGGUGGUGUCGCGGCUUGUCAUCUUGUUGGGUGGUGGUUGGCUUACCCAGGCUUUGGCGGGUGGCCGGUCGGCGAGGGUGACCGGACAGAUUGGGACUGAGGUCCGGCCCAGACUCCAGCGGGAGGCAGCAGUGGAGAAUGUUGCAAAGUGGGAGGCAGCCUGAUGGAGUGACGCCGCGUGCGGGAUGACGGCCUUCGGUUUGUAAACCGCUUUAGCCUGUGACGAUGCGUGAGUGACGGUAAUGGGUAAAGAAGCACCGGCUAACUACGUG